CCAUAGCAUUCGUAGAUUGUUCUGCGGUUUGAGCCUGUAGUCCGGUUCGGUAAUACGAUUGCAAUUUCUAAAGAUUGUCUAGGCUAACAGGUCAACACGGCCUUUCUGCCAACGUCAGUUGGGCUCCGUCUCUGGGUUCUGUGGCCGUUUGAACGCCCCAUUUUCGCGCUGCUGUUUCAUCGGCAGCAGGACAGUCGCUUCCAUGCAACAUGAAAACAGUACAAGUUAUAGUUUCUUUACGAAAUGGCCGAUCCUAUCUGGUUGGCUCAUCAGCGACCCAAUUUCGAAGUUCGCUCGAUGCUGCAGCUUGCCAUUGCUUCGACGGUUGCAUGUCCGCUCAUCAUCCAGACCCGGCAUCGUGAUCCGAAGAGCGGUGCGUCUCGGAAGGCCGGGCAGGCCGGGGCUCAACCUGGACGUCAAAGACUGCUAAGGCGAAGGGAUGACGCAACUUCAAGACCGCAUUGGCAAGAAAGUCGAAGGUAGCAGAUGGGGAGAUAGCUGCUUCGCCUACCCGGCUCGCUUUGGCUUCCGAAUCUUCACUUCCUCGACGGGAAGCGCUUUGUCCUACUUACUGUAACCUGCUUAUGGCUUUAGGAUCAACGAGUACGCCACCUGAAUGACUGCAACACUUUUGUAAUACAGGUUCUCAAAGGUGUCCUGGUAAUGAAUUGGUUUCACCACUUACGGCACCAGUGUUGCAGUAAGAGCUCCGUAGCCGUGGCCCAGUGGGUACGACACCUGGCUCGACUGCAGGAAGUGUGUGGUUCAAGCAGACCCUGGGCCAGGCAUCCUGCUUUCCAGACGGGUUUCGCUUGAAAGAAGUUUGUACAGACUGCUAUGAUUGUUGUGCAACAACUUAGACCAACAAAACACCACGCAAAUCUCAGCAAGGAGUCUGGUGGUUCCAUGUUGCUAACUUCCCAUCAGAGAUGACUGGUCACAACUCGCCUCGGCCAUGGAGUGCCCUGCCUGCAGUCCCUUGCAUUGCUGGACCUUUGUGAGCGACUUAUGAUGGGUCGAGAGCAUGGAGUUACACGAGGUCAGCUGAACUGUCCUCAGCUUUCUCUUGUGCAUUCUUCUAUUUUUAAUUUUGUUUCAGCUCUGCAGAACAUUCCACUACUGUGGCUUAUUGUCGUUUGUUGCCCUCGACGGUUUGACUGGGGUGAAAAUAAACAUCUUUAGUUAAAAAAA